rnacentral:rRNA from 1 species
GACGAACGCUGGCGGCGUGCUUAACACAUGCCAGUCGAACGGAAAGGCCCUGCUUUUGUGGGGUGCUCGAGUGGCGAACGGGUGAGUAACACGUGAGUAACCUGCCCUUGACUUUGGGAUAACUUCAGGAAACUGGGGCUAAUACCGGAUAGGAGCUGCUGCUGCGUGGUGGGGGUUGGAAAGUUUCGGCGGUUGGGGAUGGACGCGCGGCUGAUGAGCUUGUUGGUGGGGUAGGGGCUUACCAAGGCUUGGACGGGUAGCCGGCCUGAGAGGGUGACCGGCCACCUUGGGACUGAGAUACGGCCCAGACUCGUACGGGAGGCAGCAGUGGGGAAUAUUGCACAAUGGGCGGAAGCCUGAUGCAGCAACGCCGCGUGCGGGAUGACGGCCUUCGGGUUGUAAACCGCUUUCGCCUGUGACGAAGCGUGAGUGACGGUAAUGGGUAAAGAAGCACCGGCUAACUACGUG